GCUGGGCUUUAACUGACGCUGAGGCUCGAAAGUGUGGGGAGCAAACAGGAUUAGAUACCCUGGUAGUCCACACUGUAAACGAUGAUUACUAGGUGUGGGGAGUCUGACCCCUUCCGUGCCGCAGUUAACGCAAUAAGUAAUCCACCUGGGGAGUACGACCGCAAGGUUGAAACUCAAAGGAAUUGACGGGGGCCCGCACAAGCAGUGGAUUAUGUGGUUUAAUUCGAAGCAACGCGAAGAACCUUACCAGGUCUUGACAUCGAGUGACCGGCUAAGAGAUUAGCCUUUCCUUCGGGACACAAAGACAGGUGGUGCAUGGUUGUCGUCAGCUCGUGUCGUGAGAUGUUGGGUUAAGUCCCGCAACGAGCGCAACCCCUGCCAUUAGUUGCUACGCAAGAGCACUCUAAUGGGACCGCUACCGACAAGGUGGAGGAAGGUGGGGACGACGUCAAAUCAUCAUGCCCCUUAUGACCUGGGCUACACACGUAAUACAAUGGCCGUUAACAGAGGGAAGCAAUACCGCGAGGUGGAGCAAACCCCCAAAAACGGUCUCAGUUCGGAUUGCAGGCUGCAACUCGCCUGUAUGAAGUUGGAAUGCUA
rnacentral:rRNA from 1 species